rnacentral:rRNA from 1 species
AUUGAACGCUGGCGGCAUGCCUUACACAUGCAGGUCGAACGGCAGCGGACCUUCGGGUGCCGGCGAGUGGCGAACGGGUGAGUAAUAUAUCGGAACGUGCCUUUCAGUGGGGGAUAACGUAGCGAAAGUUACGCUAAUACCGCAUAUUCUGUGAGCAGGAAAGCAGGGGAUCGCAAGACCUUGCGCUGAUUGAGCGGCCGAUAUCAGAUUAGCUAGUUGGUGAGGUAAAGGCUCACCAAGGCGACGAUCUGUAGCGGGUCUGAGAGGAUGAUCCGCCACACUGGAACUGAGACACGGUCCAGACUCCUACGGGAGGCAGCAGUGGGGAAUUUUGGACAAUGGGCGCAAGCCUGAUCCAGCCAUGCCGCGUGAGUGAAGAAGGCCUCGG